rnacentral:rRNA from 1 species
UACGAGAGGCCCAAACGUUAUUCGGAAUUACUGGGCUUAAAGAGUUCGUAGGCGGUAUGAAAAGUAGGGUGUGAAAGCCCUCGGCUUAACCGAGGAAUUGCGCUCUAAACUGUCGUACUCGAGGAACCUAGAGGUGAGCAGAACAGAUGGUGGAGCGGUGAAAUGCGUAGAUAUCUGGAGGAACACCGGUGGCGAAGGCGGCAUCCUGGACCGAUAUUGACGCUGAUGCGCGAAAGCCAGGGGAGCAAACGGG